GACGAACGCUGGCGGCGUGCUUAACACAUGCAAGUCGAACGAUGAAGCCGGAGCUUGCUCUGGUGAAUUAGUGGCGAACGGGUGAGUAACACGUGAGUAACCUGCCCUUGACUCUGGGAUAACUGCGGGAAACUGUAGCUAAUACCGGAUACGACCCUCGGAGGCAUCUCCUGGGGGUGGAAAGAAUUUCGGUCAAGGAUGGACUCGCGGCCUAUCAGCUAGUUGGUGAGGUAAAGGCUCACCAAGGCGACGACGGGUAGCCGGCCUGAGAGGGUAACCGGCCACACUGGGACUGAGACACGGCCCAGACUCCUACGGGAGGCAGUGGUGGGGAAUAUUGCACAAUGGGCGCAAGCCUGAUGCAGCAACGCCGCGUGAGGGAUGACGGCCUUCGGGUUGUAAACCUCUUUUAGCAGGGAAGAAGCGAAAGUGACGGUACCUGCAGAAAAAGCACCGGCUAACUACGUGCCAGCAGCCGCGGUAA
rnacentral:rRNA from 1 species